rnacentral:rRNA from 1 species
GCACUCUAAGUUGACUGCCGGUGACAAACCGGAGGAAGGUGGGGAUGACGUCAAAUCAUCAUGCCCCUUAUGAUUUGGGCUACACACGUGCUACAAUGGACAAUACAAAGGGCAGCGAAACCGCGAGGUCAAGCAAAUCCCAUAAAGUUGUUCUCAGUUCGGAUUGUAGUCUGCAACUCGACUAUAUGAAGCUGGAAUCGCUAGUAAUCGUAGAUCAGCAUGCUACGGUGAAUACGUUCCCGGGUCUUGUAC